CUGACCCGGAAAUACUCCGAAAUGUCGUAACCGGAACCGGAAGUCGUAUGAUGAAGAUCAACAACGCGCCUUUUUCAAGAUGUUUAAAUGCAUUAGUUUGUAACCACACGUAGCACUUUGAUAAAGACCAAUAGGAACGAAACGAAUUGAACAUGUCUAUUUAAGAGACAUGGACAAAAAUAAAUACACAAACCCGUAAAUGUAUGUGUGUCUUUACAUGCGGCCCCACAUGUUUAAAAAAAAAAAAAACGUUUUUU